UACGAAGGGGGCUAGCGUUGUUCGGAAUCACUGGGCGUAAAGAGCGCGUAGGCGGCCGAUCAAGUCGGGGGUGAAAGCCUGUGGCUCAACCACAGAAUUGCCUUCGAUACUGGUUGGCUUGAGACCGGAAGAGGUAAGUGGAACUGCGAGUGUAGAGGUGAAAUUCGUAGAUAUUCGCAAGAACACCAGUGGCGUAGGCGGCUUACUGGUCCGGUUCUGACGCUGAGGCGCGAAAGCGUGGGGAGCAAACAGG
rnacentral:rRNA from 1 species